rnacentral:rRNA from 1 species
AUUGAACGCUGGCGGCAGGCUUAACACAUGCAAGUCGAGCGAGCGGCGGACGGGUGAGUAAUGUCUGGGAAACUGCCUGAUGGAGGGGGAUAACUACUGGAAACGGUAGCUAAUACCGCAUACCAUCAGAUGUGCCCAGAUGGGUUUAUCUUGUAGGUGGGGUAAUGGCUCACCUAGGCGACGAUCCCUAGCUGGUCUGAGAGGAUGACCAGCCCAACUGGAACGUAGACCCGGUCCAGACUCCAAGGGGAGGCAGCAGGGGGAAAUAUUGCACAAUGGGCGCAAGCCUAAUGCAGCCAUGCGGGGUAUGUGAAGAGGGCCUUCGGGUUGUAAAGCACUUUCAGCGAGGAGGGGUAAGUAAAAAAAGAAGCACCGGCUAACUCCGUGCCAGCAGCCGCGGUAAUA